AAACUAACCAGGAUUCCCUCAGUAGCGGCGAGUGAAGCGGGAGACGUCCAAGCUUGGAAUCCCUGUCGGGUUCACCGGAGGGAAUUGUAGUCUGAAGAGGGGCCUUCUCGGUGGGCACCGCUCUCAAAGUCGCCGUGGCAAAGCGCGCCUGAGAGGGUGAUAGCCCCGUCCCUGAUUGCGGCCGGCCUGCCCUUUGCGAGGCCCCCUCGGAGAGUCGGGCUGUUUGGGAAUGCAACCCAAAGCGGGUGGUAGACUCCAUCCAAGACUAAGCAUGCGUGCGAGACCGAUAGCGAACAAGUACCGUGAGGGAAAGGUGAAAAGCACUUUGGAAAGAGAGUCAAACAGUGCGUGAAACCGCUGCCGGGGAAGCGAAAUGAGGCUGCGUGUGGCGCCGGCGUCGUCAGGCGUCCCGGCGGACACUCUGCGGCGGUUGUCUGACCCCUCCGUGGGAAUUACGUACUGCUGCGGGACUGUCCCGCUGGGCCCGGCUGCAUUGAUGCCGGGGCCGGGCCAGCACCGGUUCCAAGCUGCGGGAGAAACGUUCGGCUGGGUAGCUCGUCGGGGUGGUUCCUGCCUUGCCGAUGGCCUGCCGAAACUGCUGCCCGCCUGGAACCGAGGCGAGUUGGCAUCCCUUGCCCUUGCGGUGUGGGCCUGAGGGCUGGACGGCGUUGCUGCACUGCCGGGCCUCCCCUGGACUGCUUGCAGUGCCGGGGGAUGUGCCCUGCCGGUGGUGCUGGAACGUGCGGUCACAAUGUGCACCGAGGGUGCUGGCCGGAGGCGUCUCAUCCGACCCGUCUUGAAACACGGACCAAGGAGUGCAGCUCGCCCGCGAGUCUUUGGCCGGCAAAGCCCAGAGGCGCAGCGAGAGCGAAGGUGCGUUGCACCGAGGCAAGAACGGGGCCCGACCCGUGCAUUGCCGACCGGUCUCCUCCACGCUGUGGUGGGAUCCGAGUGAGAGCGGGCGGGCUGCGACCCGAAAGAUGGUGAACUAUGCCCGAGCAGGGCGAAGCCAGGGGAAACCCUGGUGGAGGCCCGCAGCGGUUCUGACGUGCAAAUCGAUCGUCUGAUUUGGGUAUAGGGGC
rnacentral:rRNA from 1 species